CUGUAGGAACAUAUUCCCUGGCAUACUUACUCAAUCGAACAAACUCUCUUUCAUAUUCUGAGACUGUCAUAUUACCUUGCUUCAGCUCAAGAAACUCUUUACAUUUCUGAUCAAUAAAUCUUUCACUAAUAUAUUUCUUCCAAAACUCUUCUUGAAAGAAUUCCCAGGUUACCCUCUCUUUCGGUACCACCGAAAUCAAAGUCUUCCAC
rnacentral:lncRNA from 1 species